UUUCUCAUUCUACUCUUUCACAAAGGAGUGUGAAGAGAACUCAAUAGAUCU
rnacentral:tRNA from 1 species